GAACACAAUACACAACAUAGAAAACUAAAGACUUAGAAAAACAAACACCACCAAAAACUGGGGGUGAUCUAAGGUGCUGAGGAGGAAUAAGCAGAUCCUGCUCCACAUCUGGCACCCGUCGUAUAUUUUGAAAGUGUUACUCGAGUAAUACAAGCUGUUCAUAUCAUUCCUUUAGAUACUAUAUAUCAUUUUCAAUAACAAAUGCACUUUGCAGUCAGAAGCAUUUCAUUGAAAUAACUGAAAUAAAAAACAAGAGUCAUGUUUGUAGAAAUUCAACAGGUUUACAGAAACAACUGGCAGGCGUAUAAUUAUUACUUUAGUAUCUGUCAUAUUUUUUUUUAAAACAUAAUUCCUGCUCAUUGGUCAAAGACAACUACGAUUUUUACGGGCUGUAUUCAAAAGAGACUACACGAUAUUACCCUUAGAGAUUUUACAACCAAUGGAAAUUAGACAUACAUGCAUAGUAGUGAUUUACUAAUCAACGAACCAGUUUGAAAUUUCUACCGUUUAUUAAAUCAUUGUUGGUAAGUACUAUUUGUGAAUAAAACCAGUAACAGUUCACGACAGGCUAACAAAAUAUUUGAAAACGCAAGUAAAAAUAUUGAAACUCUUAUUUACAUAACUUGACAACAGUAUCGAAGCUAUAUCCCUUGUUUAUAAGUCUGUCUAAAGUUUGGUUAGCUUUCGAUGUGAAUGACAAAAUGUGUGUGCUUGGAUGAAAUUUUAUCCAUUGAAGAUGAAAACAUGAAAUACUUGAAAGCAUGUCUGCACGUUGAUUCAUAUAUAUUAUAUAAUUGAGAAUGGAAAUGGGGAAUGUGCCAAAGAGACAACAACCCGACCAUAGGAAAAAACAACAGCAGAAGGUCACCAACAGGUCUUCAAUGUAGCCAGAAAUUCCCGCAACCGGAGGCGUCAUUAGCAUAUUUACCUGACAAUAUCUAGAUAUUAGUAUUUUGUCAUAUCUAAACAGGGAUUUGUGAUAACUUUAAAAUUUUCAAGAUGGAUUUUAAUGUGAAUAAAGUCUGAAUGUUUAGGCUUUAAAUACAUAUUUAAAGGUAAGUUGAUGCAAGAAUAGUAUGUCACAUUUUGUCUUACACUGUUAGAGAUUUAUAAUGUUUAAUCAAUGUGUAGAGGUGUUAAUUAUGAGCUAUUCAAAUCAUGUAGUUCGUGCAUUUUUCGGAGUAGAUUUAAAAAUAAUUCAAACAAAUAUACUUGACUGUAGGUAAGCAUUCAUUAGCUGUAACUAUCCUAUAGAUUAACAACUGUCGGUUAUAAUGAUUAUUUAAAAUCGUCAUUGAAGGUGGAGCACGCAUUGGUGUUAAUUAAUUCUUUUCAUUUGUUGUCAUUUGUAUGCAAGAGUUACAUUCCUUUUUACUAUGUCCAAUUAAUAAAAAAGUCAACUUGGAAAAUCAUGUGUUGCUUUAAUAUGGUGUAAACAAUUUUGUCAGAAUGAAAUAAAGCAGACAUACAAUGAACAUGUAAAUGUUAUUUUUAAGCCACUCAUUAAUAUAUAUUGAAAAAUAAUCAUUGAUGAAAGAUUUAAGCAAAAAAAUAACAGGUGAGCGAUUCAGGCUCUUGAGAGCCUUUGUUUAUAGAUAGAAAACAUCUUUCAAAUUCUAUUUGUAAGGAGUAAAUAAUAAUAAAAAAACAAACAUUGGCGACGUUACGGGCACAUGAUAAAAAUAUACCUGAACUGAUAGACUAAACAAUUUCAAGCGCUCAGAAUAUGUGUUACAUCCAAAACUAAUAUAGAUGAAUGUAGGAUGCUUUAUACAUUAUUGUGUAGAAUAGUAAAGAAAUGGUACUUCUACUGAUUUAAUUCAGGACUAUUUUGUAGCGCUUUCGACGUUAACACGUAUGUGUAUAUAACAUGUCGGCUGUCAACAUCUAUAUUUAGUUAUAUUGCAUGCACAUUUUUCAGGCUGAUUAAAAUCGUAUAAAGUAAUUCGUUGCAGUAGUAUCAAUUAAUACUUUAUCCUUGGACAUAAUGGUAAAUUUCUUUUUUUCAAUUUAGCAUUUUUGUCAAGUCAUUUUUUAUCAGUUUUUAAGGGGGAAAAUAACAGUCUACUAAUAAAGAGAAUGCUAAUGUUUGCUGCUCAUGAAAUAAUAUAGAUAUUUUGUUUUUCAUAGACAAUCAUCGUACAUCAACUAUUCCUCCUAAUGGUUAUAUCUGUAAUGAAGAUCUUGAGUCUGGUUUACAAACACCCUUCAGAAAACUCCCUCUUAUCAACUUGAACAAUGCGUUAUUUAUAACUAUGCUAACUGAAAUAAAGAACAAAUGGUUGUUUCGAUGGAUAUAUCAUUCAAACUUAGAAUUUUUGUCUUGGAUAAUACAGCUUUUACAAUUGUUUAUGAUAUUUACACGGACAAACAUCAUCGUCGACAAAACAUACCUUGAAUCAUCUUUGUCUGGCAGUCCUUGACGAUCCACGCUGACAAUCCUAUGAUGUCAUACGCAUUAAUAAUAGAAAAAGCUGUGAAUUAUAUCAUAAAAUUGAGAAUGUCACAGGGGAUUAUCUUAUGGUUAUAACAUCUAAACUGAUAACGCAUGCUUAGACAUUUUCCGCGUAAAUGUGUGAAACUGCGCUCUAGAUAAGAAAUGGAUCGGAUGUCAGUGAACUUCAACUGUUUCUUUCUUUUUUUUCAUAUAUGUUAUCCGUAAUUUAUUUGCAAUAUAUUGCUUUAUAUCUUGAGAAUGCAGUUUAAUUUGAAAAAAAUAACAAUGCCUUUUUUUUUGUUUUUUAAAAAUAAACUCACAAACAGUUUUACACUUAUAUUCCCUAGCUAACAACAGUUGAAGCAUUAAAAUCAAAGCACACUGCAAUUCUUAGCAGAUUUGUCAAAUAGUCAAUUUUUGAACAACUUGUAUUUAGAAGAAUUCAGUAGACUCUAUAUUGACUUAGACGUGGCGCUGAACUUAUACAUUACGUCAUUGUUAUAUCGUUCCAUGCUAAGUUCUGUAUUUUUGUGUUUCACUUUUGUUAAUAGGCCUUUUUGUAUUUCUUUCUUACAUAUGACGUGACUCUGUACUUAUACAUCCCGUCAUUGUAUUAUUGUUUGUUAAUAAAUUUGUUUGUUUUAUAUAUAUUAUAUGCAUUAAGAUGAUAAACCAAUAUUGACUGCUGUGCCCCUUUUUUUGACAUUUUUACCUAUUAUGUCUGUUUGUUCUGUUUUUGCACACAUCUUGUCAAUAAAUAUAUAACGGAUGUUAAUGCGACUGUCGUACAAGGGAAAGGUUUAUCUAGCUUUAAAACCAGGGUUAAUCUACAGAAGAAAAUGCCUGUACCAAGUGAGAAAUAUGACAGUUAUUGUCCAUUCGUUUGAUAAGUUUUAGCUUUUGAUUUUCCAAUUUUAUUAUUAAGUACUUUCCGUUUUUCUAUUUUCGACGGAUCUCAGUUUAAUUUUUUUUUUUUUUUUUGUGCUUUUACUUUUUGAUACAUAAUUAGGAAAGCUGCAAUAUUAUUAACAUGUGCACGAGAAUUUUUGUUUUAUAUUUGCUAUAAUAAUGUAUUAAGAGAAUGGUAUUAAAUAAACUCAUUAUAGAUACCAGGACUAAAAAUUUUACAUACGCCAGACGCGCGUUCCGUCUACAAAAGAAUUAUCAGUGACGCUCGAAUUAAAAAACAAAAAAAAAGAGAAAAAGAAAAAAGCCAAAUAAAGAACGAUGAUGAAGAGUUUAACUGUACCUCAUUUUGUUUUGGUGGUUUCUAUUUUUCUUUUAAUGUUCCAUUGUUGUCCAUAUUGUGUUUCCCCUUAUUUCCUGUUUUUUGUUAAAACCUAUGAAUUUAUUUGUUUUUUAAUUAUCUGUCUUUUAAUGACUUUGAAAUUGAUGAUAUUUUCAAUUUGAAAUGCAAACUAGUCGUAGAUGCUAACUUGAAUAUACACAGGUAUAACCAACGUAUGGUCGAUUCCGGACGUUCUGUGUUGUGUAUCGUUCUUUUUAAUUUCUAUUCGUCCGUUAUGUGUUCGUCACAGUUCUGUCCCGUUCAUAAGUAAAUCAUCGAGAACAAAAUAAGCUGUUUAUUUUGAAAUACCUAUCGUUUAUGUUUUUGUUAGCAAGCGUUUGAAACUACAAAACCUAUUCGACAUUUCAUCUUGAAUGCAAACACAAUCUGGAUUGUUUUUGUUUGACAUGAAAGAGAACUUAUACUGGCGCCAAAGAAGCCCAAUCAGCGCCUGAUUCAUGUGCUUGCAAUACAGUUUCUUAAAAAUCUAUUAUUUUGAUCUGGAAGUCAACUGCUUAGCUCAUACGAAGAGCAGGGUGGUGUGCUCACAUUGCAUUAAGGUGAUACACGUUCAUAUCAUGCAUAUUUUAAACUUUGUUAAUUAGUUUGCUACAAGUGUGUCAUGGAUCCGAUGUGUUAGUGUGAUUCAAACGUAAACUAAACACAAUUACGUUCCCUUUGAUAAAAAUCAAUGUUUACAUGUAGCUUAAAUCAUGUUUUGUCUACAUGCAGUAAAAAAAUUAAAAAAAAAACAAACAGAUAGAACGAAGCCGGGCUAGUUUAUUUUAAAGAUUCAUGUAAAAUACACCCACCUACAAUGAACUUUGGAAUUGUCACCUAAUUAUUCCAACAUAAGAAAGUAUCGAUCCGAUCUUUACUUAUAACUGGGUUUGUACUAAGAUGAUCAACUCAACAGGUGAAAAUGUGAAGCAGGAUAUGCUUACUCUUCUAGAGGACAUAAGAUCACCCCAAAUGGGUUGUUUUCGUGUUGCUCAGUGUUUAUUGAUCUAUGUUAUGUUGUGUGUACUAUUGUUUGUUAGUUUGUCUUUUUCGAUUUUAGCCAUGGAUUUGACCUUUUUUGUAUGGUGAGUUUGAAUGUCUCUUAGAUAUCUUUUCCUAUUUUGUAUAACCGGAUAUACAGAUGGCACAUAUUCACAUAAGAAUAUCGUUUGCAGUAAUGCAUUGACUACUUAUAAUCUCAGCCUUUAUUUCUUUUGACCAUGCUAUUACUCAUCAGAGAAUUAACUCAUUGUUGCGAUUAGUUUCGUGCAGCGAGAGCAUACACAUGUUCAAAUUAACGAUUAUAUUGAGGAAAAUAUAAAGCAAAAAUGGUAAUUCUUUUUUUACAGUUGCUUAACGGACGGAUGGAUUUAAGUUAUAUGUAACCAACACAUCAAUUAUUCAACAUGUUGGGUAUCUAUGUUAUGAAGAUUCUGAUCCUGGUCUCCCAAACAUCAAUCAAAAUAUUCCGUGUUAUAAAUUUGGAAAAUACGUUAUAUACUACGAUACUACAGGCGAUGACUUCGUUGGACCUGUUGUUGAACGGUGCUACGUUGCUAUAAAUGGUGAGAUAACGUUUGAAUACACAAUGUGUAUUUGUAUAUCUCAUUAUUACAGAACUCGACACAAGGAAGUAUUUGUACAAUUUGAGAUCGGUUUUAUUUGUUUUUGGCUUUUGAGAUUGAUUAUGAAUUUUUACUCUAGCAAACCAACUUAUACACUUGGUAUCUUUAUUCAGGUUUGUUUUUAAUUUUCCUUAGAAUAUAAGCUUUAUUAGAUAUGCCAUUGUAUGCGAUGUUCUCCUAUAAAAUUUCAAACUCGCAUUCGUUUUUCAGUCAGUUUACAUGUCUUAAAAUACAUGCAAUUAUAUCUUAUCUUAUAAAGUAUAAUUUACACUACAUUUCGGAAUCAGAAUUGGCUGAAAUAAGGUUGUUUUCUUUGGUAGGGCAAUAUGAUUGCAUACAUUUGUUUGCUUCGACAUUACAAUCAUUACUGGAACGGCUUUCUUUGUUAAACCUAUUCAGAAUAAAAGAAAAAAGUAACUUCCCGUUAAAUAUGAAAAUACAAAUAACUAUGAAAAGGUUGAACCUAAAACAUUUUAUUUGUUGUAAUCAUGAACAUAAUAAGAAUGUUACGGUUUUAUAUUUUGGAAGAAGGCGUUAAUCAAUCAAAAUAUGGACAGAAGAAGUUUAGAUCACACAUUUGUCUUUAGUAUAACAGAACUAUAGCUACUGUAAUACAAGAAUGAGUUUAAUCUCAGUAUAAAACCAGGUUUUAAUCACCAUGAAAAAAAGUCUGUACAGAGUCAGGAUUAUGACAAUUUUUCCCAGUUUGUUCCGUUGAAUUAUCACGUUUGAGCUUAUUAUCAUAGACUUCUUGUUGAUCGUUGAUUUCUACAUUUCUUUUAGUUAAACAGUUUCUAACAUUGUAGGAUGCCCAAAAGGUAUGUGGGGACCUAACUGUACAGAAGCAUGUUCAUCUAUAUGUUUAAACCAACAAUGUCAUCCUGAAAAUGGUUCCUGCAUUUGGGGAUGUGAUCCCCAAAGAUGUGUUAAAGGAAGAUGUGAUACACAUACGGGUUUUUGUACUGAGGGUUGUGUAACGGGAUGGGUUGGACAAUACGGUACCUGUGGCAAAUGUACGUAUUUUUUUUUUAAAGUAUCUUUAAUUUGUAAAAUGUAUGUUUGAAAAUAAACGAAGAAUAUUGUUUAUUCUAGAUACACAUGAGUAUCAAAGAAAGAAUUGGUAUUUAUAUUUUGUCAUGCACUCGAAAUAAUUUUCUACAUUUGAUUAAACAAUAACAUCAUCAAUAUAUUUGUAUAUAGGAUUUAGAGAUAUUAAACUUAAACUUGUAAACGCGUCAUUAAUUGUUAAUUAAUUUUUUCGCUUUUUUAUUCGUUUAAUCAUGUCUUUUGGAUGCCGAUAAAUUUAUCUCCCUUUGUACACAGUAUUUCUGUAAUAAAAAAUAUUUGAACACAAGUGGAUAGGUUACUCUUCACUACAAUAGUAAUUUGUUUUUAAUUAUUAUUAGAUGUUUGAUAUUUACACUAUGAUCUCAAAUUUUCUUUCUUUUGUUUUUUUUUUAUUUUUAUGUUUGUUUUUCAUUUUGACACAGUAUUACUUAUUGUAUGGAAACUAUGAUGUCUUUAGGAUACAGCAGGAAAUUAAUGCAGACAAGGUAGAGGAGGUCAGACAUUUCAGAGUUACAUUAUCACUUACUUAUAUAAAACACUAUGGGAGAAUACGGUCUCAAUACUCUUAUCAAAUCUCAAGUAUUUAUUAUUCAGCUAUAAAAAUAAAAUUGAAUAAAUGAGUGAUAGUGGUAUAAAACUUGUUUCAUACAACUGUCAAGGUUUAAAUUCAAAGGAGAAGAGGAGAGAUGUUUUUGAUUAUUUUAAAGCAAAAAAUUGCCACUUAUAUUGUUUACAAGAUACACAUUUUUCAGAAAAAGAAGAAAUAUCAAUAAAAAAUCUAUGGGGAGGAGACUGUAUUUUCAAUUCAGCAAAGUAAGAUCUACAAAUAAGUCAACAUAAUCAAAAUGGUUAGUUGACCCCUUUAGGAGUUAUUGCCCUUUAUAGUCAUUUUUUACCAAUUUUUCGUAAAUUUUGUAGUCUUUUACAAAAAUCUUCUCCUCUGAAACUACUAGACCAAAUUUUACCAAACUUAGCCAUAAUCAUCAUUGGAGUAUCUAGUUUUAAAAAUGUGUCCGGUGACCCAGCCAACCAACCAAGAUGGCCGCUAUGGCUAAAAAUAGAACAUAUGGGUAAAAUGUAGAUUUUGGCUUAUAACUCUGAAACCAAAGCAUUUAGAGCAAAUCUGAAAGUGGUUAAAUUGUUUAACUAGUCAAUAUUUAUCUGCUCUGAAAUUCUCAGAGGAAUUGGACAAUGGGUUGUUGGGUUGCUGCCUCACAAUUGGUAACUUUUAAAGAAAUUUUGCUGUUUUUGGUUAUUAUCUUGAAUAUUAGUAUAGAUAGAGAUAAACUGUCCAGAGCAAUAAUGUUCAGCCAAGUAAGAUCUACACAAAUAUGUCUACAUGACCUAAAUGGUCUGAAAGUGGUUAAAUUGUUUAACUAGUCAAUAUUUAUUUGCUCUGAAAUUCUCAGAGGAAUUGGACAAUGGGUGUUGGGUUGCUGCCCCACAAUUGGUAACUUUUAAAGAAAUUUUGCUGUUUUUGGUUAUUAUCUUGAAUAUUAGUAUAGAUAGAGAUAAACUGUCCAGAGCAAUAAUGUUCAGCAAAGUAAGAUCUACACAAAUAUGUCUACAUGACCUAAAUGGUCAGUUGACCCCCCCCCCCCCUCAAAGAGUUAUUGCCCUUUAUAGUCAAUUUUUAACAAUUUUUUCAAAGAAUCUUUUCAACGAUGAAUGAUAUCGAUAGUGUAUCUUCAUUCAUAUCAAAGGUGUCAUAAAUCCAUUCCAAUCGAGACUUAUAUUGAUAUCAUCACAGAUAAGUGAUACAGCACGAUUGUCGUUGAUUGUAUUGCAUAUACAAUUUCUCUGUAUUCAUUAAUAAAAAAAAAAAAUUCUUCUAUUACAGUCUGUGUCCCUUUUUCCCAGAAACAACAGGAUAAAGGAAUAAUAAAUGUAUUUAGGACAAGCGACUGGCAAGGUGCCGCACUUCCUUCAACAAAGCUGAUAGUGGAUCUUAUAAAAAGUGUAGUUAGUUGUUGGCAAUCACUGACAUGUCCUAUCACAGUCGUAUGCAGGUACAUAAAUUUAAGAUAUCAAAAGAUACUCAAUUCCACAAUCAGAUUUAACGUACAUGUAACAUACACAAUAUUUUACGCCAAAAAUACGAGAACUCCACAUGUCAAAGAAAAAACACUUUUUGCGUCGAUUCUGUAAUAUUUGCUAUACAAGCAUCACAUGUAAAGCGAUACUAAAGUAUAUAUUAAAUUGUCACUUGGAGGAGAUGGAACCGAUGAUAAUGUCCUAUGCGGAAUUUUAAACUAAUUCGAAUUUCUGUAACAAACCAGAAAACAAUAAUUUUGUAAUUAUCAUACAAUAUGUGAUUGUGAAAUGAUAAGUGCAGUCACUUUUUUCUAAAUUCUUAAUUAUAUGUUUGCAAGUUAUAAGUUUUUAACACUGUUAGAAAAUAAAAAGGACGUAUUGUAAAUUAUUGUCGAUAUUAUAAUGAUUAUAUUUUAAUUUAUGUAUCAUUUUGAAAUUUCGUUGUUCCAUUGCCUUUAUGGCUUGAUAGUCAUCAGUCAAUAAUAUUGCUUUCAUUACAUGCACUUUCACAUUUUAAAGAGGAAUAUGAAUAUAAAGGAGAAAACAUCACAAAAUGUGACAUACUAGUAGAAAAGAGGUCGAUAAUCUCUAGUUAUGAAUAAUACUUAAACUAAAUAACCGUAACUUUAGAUUUUUUCACAUUGGUAGAAAAAAAUCUCUAAAAACUAGCGUAGGGGUUUAUCAUGUUUAUACUCUAAACGUAACUUGUACUGAAUCAGUUUUAAUACUAAAUUAUCUAUAACUUUUUUGUAACAUUUUUUAGAGACGGGUGCACCAAAAGUGGGUUAUUUAUAGCACUUUAUUUACUUUUGGAUAAAUUGAAAAUAGAUGAAGAGGUCGAUGUCUUUCAAGUUGUAAGAAAUAUUCAAACCAGAUGCCCAGAAUUCUUGAAGAGCUGUGUAAGUAUAUGUUCGACACAUUAUCAUGCAAAGUUUAAUUCACUCAUCCAAAAACCGUUUGUUCCAAAAAUGAGGUUGUUUAAAAAAUGAUCAAAAGGUAGUACAUUUAUGGAAAAACGUCCAGUUUCAAUGUAUAUUUCGGUAAAAUAUAGUCAUCGCAUUGUUCGUCUAUUAUUCCCAUUGUCAUCUCUGUCGCCCGUUUGUCUGAAUCAAACGUUGUAUGGAGGGUAAUGUGUGUAAGAAUGCAUUGAUCAAAAUCAAACUAAUUAUAUAUAUAUAAUACAGAUUAAAAUCUAAAGCACGGGAAAUAAGUAUAUCGAUACUUGUGACCAAUAUGUACAAAUUUAAGGUACUUUAUAGGAAAGGGUUUCUAUAUGUUCUCAUUGAUAGAGUAAAAUCGCACUUAUACAGAUGAGAGAUAAAGUAGAAUGAUGCUUAAAAUAGACAUAAGUAGGAUGUGGUUAAUCGUCUAAUAGUUAAAAUUAACAAGUCACUGAUACUAGAAAUAGUAUUUAACUGAAAUUGUUUCCUGGAUCGAAACUUGAGGUCUCUAGUUUAAUUAGAACGAAACAUAAAUAUUCAAUACUCCAUAUCUCUGUUACAUAAAAAUAUUUACUUUUGGAUAAAAAGCUAGUUGCAUUGAAAUGUAAAACAGAGACAAAAUAUGCCAAAAGGAUAAUCAAACUCAUAAGUCGAAAACAAUCUGACAGUACCAUGGCCAAAAACAAAAUAAUUACCAAAAGACAAAUGACAGUUUAAAACAGAACACAACAUGUUAACUGCGUUUGCUUUGUUUUUAGCAAUGGUCAUAUUUUUUUUAUAGCUGGCAUAUAAGCGAGUGUUAAAAUUAAAAAAAAUGCAAAACUUAAUAAGAAUGGAAGAUUUAAAAAAGAAUCUUUUUUUUUUUUUUUUUUUGUAUAAGGGUCUUUCGAGAAAGUAUUUGUACGAAUUGUGGUUUCAAAAUACAUGAGUUAUGUGCAUCUGUUUGAAAUGAAAACUUUUCACGUGUUAAUUAUCAUAUAUAUAUCCAAGUGAAAGGGAAAGGAUUGACUGUAAUAGCAUUAAUUAUGAUACAUUCACUACCAAAGUGGACAACAAUGUAAACUACAGAUUAGAGUAUAAUAGACAAAAAAAACUUAUAAAAUUAUAUCAAUUUAACAUCAGUAUAAACAAAUAAAAUGAUUUAAGAAAAGAUAAUUUGGAAAGAAAGAUAUAUAUUUUUCAAACCUUAAAUACGUGAAUGAAAAGUAAAAUAAUAAAUUCGUAUGUAAAGUUUCUCAGAUCUUAUCUUUACUGUUGGUGCAACGUUGUUGUUACUUGCAAAUUCACCUUUUUUAUUCUUUUGUUUACAGGAGCAGUAUGAAUAUUGCUACCAGUGUAUCAAAGAACUACUGGAAGGAGAGUCAAUCUAAAUAAUGGUCAUUGCUCUAGUUUCUUUAAUAUAGAAAAAGGGGUCCGUCAAGGGGAUUCUUUAUCCCCUUACCUUUUUAUACUAAAAAAUGUUCAACAACUUAACACCGUGCCAUGAAAAUAAACACAUGAAAGUAUUGAAAUUUGC
rnacentral:lncRNA from 1 species